UUCCGGUUCCGGGUCAACGUGAAUGACUGCUCGCUGACUGCUCUUGUUGCAAAAAAGCUAAGUAUCGUUCUAUCUGUGUGAUUUUAACUGUUUUGCAGCUUUAUUUACAACUUAUCGAACAUAUUUAAUAGUUCAAUUUAACUUGCAAAUCACCCGAUCUCUGUCUCACCACUUCGCCCUCAGCUAGCUAGCUGCUAAGCUAACGAGGCUAGCGGAGAAAGGCAGCGCCGGUCUGAAGGAAGCUUCACCCCCGCCACCGUGACCACCACUUCCCGAAGACAGCAGGCACUCCACUCGGCGACGGAAAGUUUCUGGGGUCCGGUCCGAUGACCAUGGAUGAAGUACUGACUGUCCAGAGUCGAGACCCAGGAUGGACCGCUCGUCGGGACCCAGGAUGGACCGCUCGCCUGUAUCGGUUGGGGACAUCUCUACGCUGCUGAUCCGCUUGAGAUGGUUUCCUGUGGACGGGACUCUCACUGCUGUCUUGGAGCCACUAUGGAUUGAACUUUCACAGUAUCAUGUUAGACCCGCUCGACAUCCAUUGCUUUCGGUCCCCUAGAGGGGGGGGGUUGCCCACAUCUGAGGUCCUCUCCAAGGUUUCUCAUAGUCAGCAUUGUCGCUGGCGUCCCACUGAAUGUGAAUUCUCCCUGCCCACUGGGUGUGAGUUUUCCUUGCCCUUUUGUGGGUUCUUCCGAGGAUGUUGUAGUCGUAAUGAUUUGUGCAGUCCUUUGAGACAUUUGUGAUUUGGGGCUAUAUAAAUAAACAUUGAUUGAUUGAUUGAUAUAUAUAUAUAUAUAUAUAUAUAUAUAUAUAUAUAUAUAUAUAUAUAUAUAUAUAUAUAUAUUUAUACCCCCUGAUAUGUCUUUUAAAUACCUGGGCCUCAUUUUAUCAAAAUAUAUAACAACAUUAUCAGUAUAAAAUGAUCUACCCAUACAUAAGAAAAUAAAAGAUGACAUAGCACGAUGGAACUUAAUUCCUUUUUUUCGCCUUAGCUGUAGAAUUGAUUGUAUUAAAAGGAAUGCACUUCCAAGACUGCUGUACCGAUUUCAAACUCUGCCAAUAGAGAUCAACAAAAAAUAAUUCAGCUUCAUGUAGUGUAAUGAAAGAUUAAAAAAUGCUCAGUUUUGAAACUAUUAAAGGGGAACAUUAUCAGCAGACCUAUGUAAGCGUCAAUAUAUACCUUGAUGGUGCAGAAAAAAGACCAUAUAUUUUUUUAACCGAUUUCCGAACUCUAAAUGGGUAAAUUUUGGCGAAUUAAACGCCUUUUUGUUUAUCGCGCUGGAGGCGAUGACGUCAGAAUGUGACGUCACCGAGGUAAUACAGCCGCCAUUUUCAUUUUCAACACAUUACAAAGACCAGGUCUCAGCUCUGUUAUUUUCCGUUUUUUCGACUAUUUUUUGUAACCUUGGAGACAUCAUGUCUCGUCGGUGUGUUGUCGGAGGGUGUAACAACACUAACAGGGAGGGAUUCAAGUUGCACCACUGGCCCCAAGAUGCCAAAGUGUCUGCCGCCAGACCCCCAUUGAAUGUGCCAGAGUGUCUCCACAUUUUACCGGCGAUAACAGACAUGGCACAGAGAUGUAUGGAUAACCUGCAGAUGCAUUUGAAACGAUAUUCAACGAAAUCACAAAGGUGAGUUUUGUUGAUGUUGUUGACAUAUGUGCUAAUCAGACAUAUUUGGUCGCGGCAUGACUGCCAGCUAAUCGAUGCUAACAUGCUAUUUACUGGCGGUUGUAAAGCAGACAUGGCACAGAGAUGUAUGGAUAACCUGCAAAUGCAUUUGCAACGAUAAAGUCAACGAAAUCAUAAAGGUGAGUUUUGUUGAUGUUGACUGCCAGCUAAUCGAUGCUAACAUGCUAUGCUAAUCGAUGCUAACAUGCUAUUUACCGGCGGUGCUAAAGCAGACAUGGCACAGAGAUGCAUGGAUAACCUGCAGAUGCAUUUGCAACUAUAUUACGUUUCCUUCCACCCACAUUUUAUGCGAAAAAAUCACUUACCAAUCGACGGAUUUAAGUUGCUCCAGUGUCACAAGAUGCGAAAGUCCUGAUCGUUUGGUCCGCACAUUUUACCAGCAAUGCUAAAGCAGCUAUUCGGCCAUGCUAUGGCUAUGAAUAGCGUCAAUAGCUAUUCGCUCAAUAGCUUCAGUUUCUUCUUCAAUACUUUCAUACUCCAACCAUCUGUUUCAAUACAUGCGUAAUCUGUUGAAUCGCUUAAAUCGCUGAAAUCCGAGUGUGAAUCCGAGCUAAUGUCGCUAUAUCUUGCUGUGCUAUUCCCAUUGUUUGUUUACAUUGGCAGCACUGUAUGACGUCACAGGGAAAUGGAUAGUGGUUUCGAAGAUAGCGAAAAUAAGGCAAUUUAAAGCUUUAUUUAGGGAUAUUCCGAGACCGGUAAAAUUUUGAGUGAAACUUCAAAAAAUACAACAAGCCCCUGGGAACUGAUUUUUAUUGUUUUAACCCUUUUGAAAUUGUGAUAAUGUUCCCCUUUAAAAGGACACAUUUAAAAAAAAAAACAAGACUUAUAUCAAUAUCUGCAGUUGCAGCAUUUUGUUAAUAUGAAGGUGAAAAAUGUAACAAAGACAAGCAUUUGUUUCAUUGAACUAUUUACAAAAGCAUAUAAUUCAGAAACUAUUGAUAGAAGUGUUUCAUGCUUGUAUAAGAAAUCAUAUUCAACUUUAUAUGUUAAAACAAAAUGGGAGAAGGAAGGAGGGAUAACUACAUCUGAGGAAGAAUGGACAAUAAAAUGGAGAUAUCAAUGGACUUGUAGCAGCUCACCCAAGUGGAGAGUUUGGCUGGGAAAGUUUUAUUCCACCUUCUCAGAAGUCUCAGUAUGAUAACAACUCCCCUGCCUGUUGGACAAAUUGUGGGAAUCUAAAGGCAAACCACUAGCAUGUUUUCUGGGACUGCUCUGCCAUAAAGGACUAUUGGAAAGAGAUACACCAAGCUCUACAGGAUAUUUUCAAAUCACCCCUUGAAAGUAACAUUCUGUUUUUCACACAUCGCACCUCAGGAUUGGCUGAAAAAAGAGAAAUACUUCAUGAAUAUCCUACUAGUGGUUUGUAAAAAGAGCAUUACCAGGAAAUGGAUAUUACAGGAGAGCCCAACUUUGAAGAAAUGGAUGGAAAUCACAAUGGACAUUUAUAAAACACAGGAGAUAACAGCUUUUAUUAUUUAUAAACUAGAGAUAUUUACUUCAUACUGGGAAUACUGGCUCCAUUAUGUCACGCCACAUAAGACUAUUUUUUUUUCUAAUUAGUGAUUAAACUGUUUUAAAAAAAAAAGAUUACUCCCUAUAUGUAUAUAGUUUUAUCUGUUUAUAUUAUUUGUUAUUAAUAUUAUUAUUACUUUGUUUUUUGUUUUCGUUUUUUUGCUGUCUUUCUUUUUUUGUGGGGGAGGGGUGCAGGUGUCAUCGUUGGGAAAUAAACAAAAAAUAAUAUGUUGA